rnacentral:rRNA from 1 species
UACGUAGGGUGCGAGCGUUAAUCGGAAUUACUGGGCGUAAAGCGUGCGCAGGCGGUUCGUUAUGUCCGAUGUGAAAGCCCCCGAGCUCAACUUGGGAAUGGCAUUGGAAACUGGCGGGCUGGAGUGUGGCAGAGGGGGGGUGGAAUUCCACGUGUAGCAGUGAAAUGCGUAGAGAUGUGGAGGAACACCGAUGGCGAAGGCAGCCUCCUGGGCCAACACUGACGCUCAGGCACGAAAGCGUGGGGAGCAAACAGG